rnacentral:rRNA from 1 species
AUUGAACGCUGGCGGCAUGCUUUACACAUGCAAGUCGAACGGCAGCGCGGGCUUCGGCCUGGCGGCGAGUGGCGAACGGGUGAGUAAUACAUCGGAACGUGCCCAGUAGUGGGGGAUAGCUCGGCGAAAGCCGGAUUAAUACCGCAUACGACCUGAGGGCGAAAGCGGGGGAGCUUCGGACCUCGCGCUAUUGGAGCGGCCGAUGGCAGAUUAGCUAGUUGGUGGGGUAAAGGCCUACCAAGGCGACGAUCUGUAGCUGGUCUGAGAGGACGACCAGCCACACUGGAACUGAGACACGGCCCAGACUCCUACGGGAGGCAGCAGUGGGGAAUUUUGGACAAUGGGCGAAAGCCUGAUCCAGCAAUGCCGCGUGUGUGAUGAAGGCCUUCGGGUUGUAAAGCACUUUUGGCGGGAACGAAAAGGACUGUGCCAAUACCACGGUUCGAUGACGGUACCCGCAGAAUAAGCACCGGCUAACUACGUG